UGCCAGCCGCCGCGGUAAUACGGAGGGUGCAAGCGUUAAUCAGAAUUACUGGGCGUAAAGCGCUCGUAGGCGGCUUGUUAAGUCGGAUGUGAAAGCCCCGGGCUCAACCUGGGAACUGCAUUCGAUACUGGCAGACUAGAGUAUAGUAGAGGCAAGUGGAAUUCCGGGUGUAGCGGUGAAAUGCGUAGAUAUCCGGAGGAACAUCAGUGGCGAAGGCGACUUGCUGGACUAAUACUGACGCUGAGGAGCGAAAGCGUAGGUAGCAAAACGGAUUAGAUA
rnacentral:rRNA from 1 species